GACGAACGCUGGCGGCGUGCUUAACACAUGCAAGUCGAACGGAAAGGCCCUGCGUUUGUGGGGUGCUCGAGUGGCGAACGGGUGAGUAACACGUGAGUAACCUGCCCUUGACUUUGGGAUAACUUCAGGAAACUGGGGCUAAUACCGGAUAGGAGCUCCUGCUGCAUGGUGGGGGUUGGAAAGUUUCGGCGGUUGGGGAUGGACUCGCGGCUUAUCAGCUUGUUGGUGGGGUAGUGGCUUACCAAGGCUUUGACGGGUAGCCGGCCUGAGAGGGUGACCGGCCACAUUGGGACUGAGAUACGGCCCAGACUCGUACGGGAGGCAGCGGUGGAGAAUAUUGCACAAUGGGCGGAAGCCUGAUGCAGCGACGCCGCGUGCGGGAUGACGGCCUUCGGGUUGUAAACCGCUUUCGACUGUGACGAAGCGUGAGUGACGGUAAUGGGUAAAGAAGCACCGGCUAACUACGUG
rnacentral:rRNA from 1 species